rnacentral:rRNA from 1 species
UGGGGAAUAUUGCACAAUGGGCGAAAGCCUGAUGCAGCAACGCCGCGUGAGUGAUGAAGGCCUUCGGGUUGUAAAGCUCUGUCUUCUGGGACGAUAAUGACGGUACCAGAGGAGGAAGCCACGGCUAACUACGUGCCAGCAGCCGCGGUAAUACGUAGGUGGCACGCGUUGUCCGGAUUUACUGGGCGUCAAGGAUGCGUAGGCGGAUACUUAAGUCAGAUGUGAAAAUCCCGGGCUUAACUUGGGAACUUCAUUUGAAACUGGGUAACUAGAGUGCGGGAGAGGAAAGUGGAAUUCCUAGUGUAGCGGUGAAAUGCGUAGAGAUUAGGAAGAACACCAGUGGCGAAGGCGACUUUCUGGACCGUAACUGACGCUGAGGCAUGAAAGCGUGGGGAGCAAACA